GUUCGCGCAGACGGAAAGGGAUUGUUGCGCAGGUUCGUUCUGUCGCUUAUUCUACGCAAUUCACUUGACGUGCGCGGAUCUUCUUUGACUUCGAAUUGGUUUACUUACCGAUUUUAUCGACUCCGUCCGUUGGACUGUUGCCUCGGGGAUUGGUGAUCGCGUUCUGUGGCUUAUUUCGCGACGGCGCCAACGUGAAUCCGGUUGGUUUCCUGAACCUGUUCGACGACGGGCUUCCCGGUGUUCGAAGGGGGCCUACCGUGCUCCUGGUGGAAUUCACCUGUUCGCGGAGCACAUGCAGAUUGUAUUCGGUGCCAACACAGCCGGAAUGUCUCAAGAACAAGAUCUACGAACGUUGACGGAAGAACAAGAUUCCUCGUCACAAAAUGGCGGACCCUUUCGAUUCAAUUUGAGAUUCAACGGAAUCUCCGGUAUUCGAACGUGACGACGGUACAAGAAUGUUGAAAAAGAUGGACAGACAAAUCGGUUCAAGAGGAUCGCCAUUUCGUUUGCGUGAGUGACUAGGCGCAGAAGGAUACUGAUUAGAGACGAAGCGAGGCGACACAGCUCCCUUCUGCUGGCUCUCCCCUCGGACCUCCUCGGAUCUUCUCGGACCUUCUCGGACCUUCUCGGACCUCCUCGGAUCUUUUUGAACCUCCUCGGACCUUCUCGGACCUUCUUGGACCUCCUCGGACCGUCUCAGACCUUCUCGGACCUUCUUGGACCUCCUCAGACUUCCUCCGACCUUCUUGGAUCUCCUUGGACCUUCUCGGACCUUCUCGGAUCUUCUCGGACCUUCUUCGACCUUCUCGGACCUUCUCGGACCUUCUUGGACCUCCUCGGACCUCCUCGGACCUUCUCGAACCUCCUCGGGCCCCCGAUUCGACCGGAAUCUCAUCGAAAGGCCCGCGCGUUCGCUUCGGUGCUCCAGUAGAUGCUCGCCGUGUUCGGUUUUCACCGGGAACGGUGUUUGUGCGUGCGCAUGACCGCGUUUCACCGAUCGGAACGGAACACGCAGUGAUAAGUGCAUCUGCGCGUGCAUCGCCGGUCCUCACGUGCACCGCGUGCAUCGUAUGCACCGGCCGCGCGCUAGAGAAAUUACGGGGGACGCCGAGAGAGACUCGGUCACAGAGUAAAUGGGCCAUUCUUUCGCGGCGCUAACCUUGCGACUCGAUUGUUCGAGCCUCGCGGCUCGUUUCUAUCGCGUUCGGCUAUUAUCAAGAAUGAUAAAAAACGAACCGCGAGCCUCGAAUAAUCCUCUCCAUAUUUUUUGCGUUCAAGUCGAGCGUCGAUUAGGAAGAAUUUACUAUAGUUCGCGCAGGCGUUGCGAGAGAAAAGGAAUUCGAUCGUCGGCGCGUUGAACCCGGCGAUGGAUGAUGAAUCCGCAAUAGCGUUCAAAUGAUUAAAUUCCAAUGUCGAAGUGUAAUACUCACCCUGGUGUAUCGACGCGAGCAUAACGCUCAGGGCGAGCAGCAGCGACACCGUUUGGCACCCCUGAAACGAGAAAACAAACCCUGUCAGCGAUUCACACGACAGCCGUUCCGAUGGCGGUGGACAGCCGUUUCCGGCGAUCGUGGCGCGCGGAAAGAAAGAACUUUUCCACGAAAAGCAAGCAUAAGUCGGCCGGAGAGAGAAAGGAAAGUCCGGGCGGUCUAGCACGAAAGUAAAAGCCGAUCCUACAUAAGAAUUGUACAAACAAACGCGGUUCAGCCUCGAUAUCCACCCCGCGCCUUUCGUAACCGAGUCACGAGCGGCAACCGGCGGGAUCGCAAUUAUGAUCGUAAGUAGCCACAAACCGUUCGCGUUUCGAAUUGUUCGGCCGAGAGGCUUCCGUGGCCGUUGUCUACACUCUAUCGCACUCUCUGUUGCACUCUGUUGCACUCCCUUGCACCGUUCGUACGCCAUUAUAUUUCUGUUUACUUUUUUCCCCCCCCGGGGGGGUUUUUUCUCUCUGCCGCGCGUAGUAGUAGCACGUCCCGUUCAACGAUCGCCAUUACCCUUGAGCUCUCGUCACUUUCUGUUUCCAGUGAUUUCUCUCUCGUCGUCCCAAUCAAGGACGACGUUGUGGCAUGUUAACGUAUGUCACGUUGGAUUGCCGAAUAAAGUCAGAAAUAAAUGUAAUGACAAUAAUAAUAAUAAUAAUUAUAAUUAUAA